AUUGAACGCUGGCGGCAGGCUUAACACAUGCAAGUCGAGCGGGGUGAUGGUGCUUGCACUAUCACUUAGCGGCGGACGGGUGAGUAAUGCUUAGGAAUCUGCCUAUUAGUGGGGGACAACAUCUCGAAAGGGAUGCUAAUACCGCAUACAUCCUACGGGAGAAAGCAGGGGAUCACUUGUGACCUUGCGCUAAUAGAUGAGCCUAAGUCGGAGUAGCUAGUUGGUGGGGUAAAGGCCUACCAAGGCGACGAUCUGUAGCGGGUCUGAGAGGAUGAUCCGCCACACUGGGACUGAGACACGGACCAGACUCCUACGGGAGGCAGCAGUGGGGAAUAUUGGACAAUGGGGGGAACCCUGAUUCAGCCAUGCCGCGUGUGUGAAGAAGGCCUUAUGGUUGUAAAGCACUUUAAGCGAGGAGGAGGCUCUUUUGGUUAAUACCCAAGAUGAGUGGACGUUACUCGCAGAAUAAGCACCGGCUAACUCUGUGCCAGCCGCCGCUGUAA
rnacentral:rRNA from 1 species